GUGCUCUCUUCAGCAGCACAUAUUCUAAAUUUGGAAACAAUACAAAGAUUAGCAUGGCCCCUGUGUAAGGAUGACACAAAAAUCUGUGAAGCAUUCCAUAUACUU
ensembl:snRNA U6 U6 spliceosomal RNA